rnacentral:piRNA from 1 species
UGACCACAGAGUGCCCUCCUAUAGUGAUC